rnacentral:tRNA from 1 species
AUUUAAGUAGCUUAAAUUAGAGCAUAAUAUUGAAGAUAUUAAGGUAAUAUAAAUUCUUAAAUA